rnacentral:lncRNA from 8 species
AUGACAUUGUCUACAAAGAUACUGAAACUGAGAGGGCUCUUAGUUGUGAGGUUGUCUGAUAUAAGCUUACAUAGACUCAUGUCACCAUCUUCUAUUAGAGUCUCUCGCUAUCGGAAGGAAGCUGUCACUCAAGCCAGGGGGUCAACAUUCUGCAGGCCAGCCUAUCAGAGCAUGGCGUCGUUUCACCCGUUGACUCAACAAGCAUCUCCGUAGAGCGAUGCUGCGACCAGGUGAGCAGACCAACUCCUGGAUGACUGGUAGGUCUUCAACAGAACCAGUAACUGCCAUACAGAGUAAGACUUCCAAUAGCCUUAAAUGAUCCUCAUUGGGGGGUUGCUAUUGUAGAUCUGUAUGCAUACUCUAAUCACAGUGACGUGUAGUGACACGUAUGCAUAACUGCCCACUGUAUAUUCUCCUGUCUUUUCUCUGUAAGGAGACACACAAACAACAGACACAGAACACACAGCAGUGGCAGGCACUCGCUUGCGUCCCAACUAAUAUCAAGGUCUGCUUUGGCCAGAGGAGGAUGGUGCACAAUGCCCAGGGUGGACCUUGACACAUUUUCCCAAAAGCUUCCUGUACUAAAACACACCUUGAAUGUGGCUCAAAUGUUUAUUUUUUAUUUUUUUACAUUUUAUCUAUUGAAAGAUAUUGAUUUUAAUCAAUGUAGGUAUGGGUAAAGCUAAUUAUAAACCAAACUGUAAUACUGUUGUAAAUUUUAGAUACUGUAUGUGCAGGCUUAUUUAAGUGAGUACCUAAGACCUAACUCAAUGUUUUAAUAUUAACUGUUUUAAAAUACUAUGAGCAAUAAAGUAACAAACUUCUCAGUAAUGUUUUUCACUUCACUUAGACACCACUCUCUGUCCUGUGACUGCUUCCUGUUUUUAUGUGCGACCAUCCUUUUCAAUGGUCACUCACUGGCCCACAGAGGAGCUUACCUAACUACACAUUUCUGCAAAGUAGGUAUAAAUGUCAGUGGCACUUUGAGCCCCAAAUGGUGAA